rnacentral:ncRNA from 1 species
UAAAAAGUGAUGAUGGGAGAGAGUAGACCAGUCUGACUGAUACAGAGAACCCCGGUAGCUGAGAAGGGGAAAGGGAUGCUGGUUGAAGAUGGUCCCUGAGCUUUCCAGUUGAAACCUGUUAAGAAGGGAGUAAACAGGAACGGGUUCCUCGCGCACCCGUUAACGUGCUAGAGUAUAAUCAGAUUUGCUGCCGUACUCGAUGAGGUCGGUGCUGUGAGGUACCGGUAAAAAGAGGUGGUACCACGGGAAUUUUACUCUCGUCCUCCUG